rnacentral:lncRNA from 1 species
CUCCCAGGCUUUGCACACAACUUCUGCAGCAUCUGCAUUCCAGGAAUGAAUGGAGCCAGGGGCCAUCUAGGUAUAAGGCCUUCCACCUGCCAUGCAAAUGCUCUACCACUGAGCUACAUCUCCAGCCUCCCUCCUCUUUUUGUAUUUUAUUUCUGAGAUAGGGUUUUGGUAAGUUGCCUAGGCUAGUUUCAAACUUAAAAAUCCCCUGCCCUCACCUUCCUGAGUAGCUAGAAUUAUAGCUCUGUGCCACCAUGGUAGGGUCAGAUUGUUUCCUUGCAUUAAAAGAAAUGUCAGUCCCCAGUGGAGGGGUAACAACCUCAGGGCAGCAAGAGGCAGCCAGGGAGCACCAGGGAGGGCAGGAGCUGAGCCCAAACACAGGGAGCCACUCAGAUCUGAGGCUUAUUUAGUCCUGCCACCAACCGUGGUCUUCCAUUUUCUUCCCUUGAGGGCCUGAGCUAUAGGAAAGCAAUAGGCCCCUCCCAUAAACCCAGAGAAACCCAAGGGGAUUCCCCACCUCAGCCCAGAAGUAGGUGCCCAGUGAUCCCAUCACACAGACUACUCCCAUCCCCUUGGGGAAUCCAUGUGGGAAAAGCUCCUUCCUCCCUGGGGAAACCAUGGGGGGGGGGGGAUGGGCAUCAAGCAUUCAACCAGCCUCAAUGAGGGUUAUGGCUGCUGGAACUGGGGGAAGUCGGGCAAACAGAGGUCUCUAGAAAUGGCAGCCAAUGGGUCAGGCUUGCUCCCGAAUCCUCAGUCCCAAGGUGCUGCCAGGGGACUGUCUGUGCUCUCCAGGAGUGGAAUGUUCUGAGGGCAAAUCAGUUCACAGGUGUGGUAGGAAAAGCACCAGCCCUGGGUUUGAGAACCAACCCUAAUGUAUCCCACUUCCCCCUGGGCAAGUGACCGCCUCUGAAGGCAAGUGCUAGGAGGGAGUCUGUUUCGUUUGUUACAUCUGUAACACUUAGCACAUAGUAGUUGCUCAAUAAAUAUUAUACCAGGUCAGGGCAAUGACCUAAGCUUUGGUUUGUUCAUUUUCAAAAUAGGGAUGAUAAUAGCUAUCUCACAGG